ACGCGUGUCUGGCUGAGUUGCAGUCGAUUUCGCAUUCACUUCGUUCUUCACACUGCUGCGUGCCGGCAGAAUGGCCCAUAAGCAGAUUUACUACUCGGACAAGUAUUUCGAUGAGCACUACAAGUAUCAGUAUAUUAUGCUGCCCAGAGAACUGUCCAAACAAGUACCCAAAACUCAUCUGAUGUCUGAAGAGGAAUGGAAUACACUUAGGGUCCAGCAGAAUCUAGGCUGGGUUCAUUACAUGAUUCACGAGCCAGAACCACAUAUUCUUCUGUUCAGACGACCUCUUCCAAAAGAACAACAAAAAUGAAAUGUAUCUUGGAUCAACAGCUAAAUCUUUUUCAAAUUUAAUGUAUAUGUGUAUAUAAGGUAGUAUUCAGUGAAUACUUGAAAAAUGUACAAAUCAUUCUUCCAUACCUGUGCAUGAGCUGUAUUCUUCACAGCAACAGAGUUCAGCUAAA